UACCCACACAUAACGAUCACACACUGUUAUGUUUUAUUUUUUCAAUCACAAAUCCCUCCUAAUUGACACUUUAGGAGUACACCUUACCCCCAAACAAACUUACUAGCUUUCAAAACUAAAAAUGCUUACAUCCAAGAUCUAGCCAGUGCUCCGUUAGUAAAUAAAGUAUGGGAUCAACCUGUUAUUAGCUCAAAGAGUCACCAGUCAUGUUAGAAACUCAAAUUGGUGUCAUCUUCUCUCAAACACAACUACUUUAAAUACUAUUGCACUCUAUAGAAUAUGAUUGCAAAUAUUCAAGCACAUGAAAUGG
rnacentral:lncRNA from 1 species